GCCCGGGUGGCGGAAUUGGUAGACGCCUGGGACUUAAAAUCCCAUGGGUUGUAUAAGCCCGUGCCGGUUCAAGUCCGGCCCCGGGUA
rnacentral:tRNA from 1 species